rnacentral:rRNA from 1 species
CCCAGUUCGGAUUGCAGGCUGCAACCCGCCUGCAUGAAGUUGGAAUUGCUAGUAAUCGCGGAUCAGCAUGCCGCGGUGAAUACGUUCCCUGGCCUUGUACACACCGCCCGUCACACCAUGGGAGCCGGUAAUACCCGAAGUCAGUAGCCUAACCGCAAGGGGGGCGCUGCCGAAGGUAGGAUUGGCGACUGGGGUGAAGUCGUAACAAGGUAAC